rnacentral:rRNA from 1 species
UACGAAGGGGGCUAGCGUUGCUCGGAAUCACUGGGCGUAAAGCGCACGUAGGCGGCUUCUUAAGUCAGGGGUGAAAUCCUGGAGCUCAACUCCAGAACUGCCUUUGAUACUGAGGAGCUUGAGUCCGGGAGAGGUGAGUGGAACUGCGAGUGUAGAGGUGAAAUUCGUAGAUAUUCGCAAGAACACCAGUGGCGAAGGCGGCUCACUGGUCCGGUACUGACGCUGAGGUGCGAAAGCGUGGGAGCAACAGGG